rnacentral:tRNA from 1 species
GCCCUCAUAGCUCAGCUGGUAGAGCAAGAAAUUUGUAAUUUCGAGGUCGGGAGUUCAAGUCUCUCUGGGGGCA